rnacentral:rRNA from 1 species
GCUUAGAGUUUGAUCCUGGCUCAGAUUGAACGCUGGCGGUAUGCUUAAGACAUGCAAGUCGUGCGGUAGAAGGCUUCGGCCUUUGAGAGCGGCGGACGGGUGAGUAACACGUGGGAAUCUGCCUAUUAGUGGGGGACAGCCCAGCGAAAGCUGGAUUAAUACCGCAUACGCCCUACGGGGGAAAGCAGCAAUGCGCUAAUAGAUGAGCCCGCGUAAGAUUAGCUAGUUGGUAAGGUAAAGGCUUACCAAGGCGACGAUCUUUAGCUGGUCUGAGAGGAUGGCCAGCCACAUCGGGACUGAGACACGGCCCGGACUCCUACGGGAGGCAGCAGUCGGGAAUAUUGGACAAUGGGCGCAAGCCUGAUCCAGCAAUACCGCGUGUGUGAAGAAGGCCUGCGGGUUGUAAAGCACUUUCAGUUGGGAAGAUAAUGACGUUACCAACAGAAGAAGCACCGGCUAACUCCGUGCCAGCAGCCGCGGUAAUACGGAGGGUGCAAGCGUUAAUCGGAAUUACUGGGCGUAAAGCGUGCGUAGGCGGCCUGUUAAGUCAGAUGUGAAAGCCCCGGGCUUAACCUGGGAACUGCAUCUGAUACUGGGAGGCUAGAAUGUGGGAGAGGAGAGUGGAGUUUCCGGUGUAGCGGUGAAAUGCAUAGAGAUCGGAAGGAACACCAGUGGCGAAGGCGGCUCUCUGGACCAACAUUGACGCUGAGGGACGAAAGCGUGGGUAGCAAACAGGAUUAGAUACCCUGGUAGUCCACGCCCUAAACGAUGUCAACUAACUGUUCGGAGUCACUAAGAUUCUGAGUAGUGAAGCUAACGCGAUAAGUUGACCGCCUGGGGAGUACGGCCGCAAGGUUGAAACUCAAAGAAAUUGACGGGGGCCCGCACAAGCGGUGGAGCAUGUGGUUUAAUUCGAUGCAACGCGAAGAACCUUACCUGGUCUUGACAUGUAGUGAACUUAGCAGAAAUGUUUUGGUGCCUUCGGGAACACUAACACAGGUGCUGUACGGCUGUCGUCAGCUCGUGUCGUGAGAUGUUGGGUUAAGUCCCGCAACGAGCGCAACCCCUGUCCCUAGUUGCCAGCACAUAAUGGUGGGAACUCUAGGGAGACUGCCGGUGACAAACCGGAGGAAGGUGGGGAUGACGUCAAGUCAUCAUGGCCCUUAUGACCAGGGCUACACACGUGCUACAAUGGGCAGUACAGAGGGAAGCAAAAUCGCGAGAUCAAGCAAAUCCCAGAAAGCUGUCCGUAGUCCGGAUCGGAGUCUGCAACUCGACUCCGUGAAGUCGGAAUCGCUAGUAAUCGCGAAUCAGCAUGUCGCGGUGAAUACGUUCCCGGGCCUUGUACACACCGCCCGUCACACCAUGGGAGUUUGUUGCACCAGAAGCAGGUAGUCUAACCGAAAGGAGGGCGCUUGCCACGGUGUGGCCGAUGACUGGGGUGAAGUCGUAACAAGGUAACCAAGCC